GCAGCGGCUGUCAAAGCCUCUGACAAAAAGAAAUAUCCGGAAAGUCUUCAAUUUUGUUGGAUGUGAAUCCAUGGGAUGAAGAGACAGAUGUGGCAAAGCUUGAGGAAACCGUGAGGAAUGUCCAGAUGGAAGGCCUCUCAUGGGGAAUGUUUGGAUAUGGUAUCAAGAAGUUGCAA